AGAGUUUGAUCCUGGCUCAGAGCGAACGUUAGCGGCGGGCUUAACACAUGCAAGUCGAACGCGAAAGGGCUUCGGCCCCGGUAGCGUGGCGUCCGGGUGAGUAACACGUGGGAAACCUACCCUGGAGUGGGGGAUAACGUUCCGAAAGGAACGCUAAUACCGCGUAAGACCACGAUGGCUACGGCCGACGUGGGAAAAGGCGGCCUCUACUUGUAAGCUGCCGCUUCAGGAUGGUCCCGCGGCGCAUCAGCUAGUUGGUGGGGUAAUGGCUCACCAAGGCGAAGACGCGUAGCUGGUCUGAGAGGAUGGUCAGCCACCCUGGCACUGAAACACGGGCCAGACUCCUACGGGAGGCAGCAGUGGGGAAUAUUGGUCAAUGGGCGAAAGCCUGAACCAGCCACGCCGCGUGAGUGAUGAAGGCCUUCGGGUUGUAAAGCUCUGUGGGGAGGGAAGAAAACGGCCGGUAAGAAACGACUGGUCCUUGACGGUACCUCCUUAGCAAGCACCGGCUAACUCUGUGCCAGCCGCCGCGGUAAUAC
rnacentral:rRNA from 1 species